rnacentral:misc_RNA from 1 species
ACUCAACACGCGCUCACAAAGCAAAAAAAAAAGGAAAGCGCCAUGCACCUCCCCUGCUCUCCCUACUCCACAGAAACACCCGCUCAUACGCAUCCACGUGCUAAGCGUGGUUUCACCGGUGUUUGGCUAUUCCCUCGUUUUCUCCAAGUGUUGCUGCGAUACGUUUUUCUUUCUCCUGUUAGCCUGGGCGUUGGAUUAUCUUGAAGUCAUGACGACUAUCUGUGUUCUUAUUCGUCUUACGUGAGUCCAUUCUCUGCCACAGUGCAUUUCACUGAGCGCCUCUCGAUAACCCCCCCAGGCCCUGCCACAGGCCCCCAUCCGCGUCGUGCGAUGCAGAGCGAGAGACACGCCAGUGCAGCAAUGCGCCCGGCUCAGCCGUCGGAGCACCACCCCCCUGCCUCGAGCACCGCACACCCACCCGCGCCCCGCAGGUCGCCUCACAGCCGCUCCCCCACUAUGCCGGGCGCCACCGGGUGCAUUCUCUCCUCAGGGGUGGGUGGGUGGCUCCCCACACCCCCGUACGCAGUGCGAGGGCCGGGGGUGGGAUUACACGCUCGAGCCACGCUGACGCUUCGCCUACCAUAUGCGUGGCGCAAGCCUGUGCACUGCCGCAGGUCGCUCCGCCGCAGCGCCAUCCAGGGCCCGACCGCCGGCGUCAGUGGGGCGGUACAUCGCCCUGACCUCCCCACGUGGCAGGUGCUUCACCGCGCCACCACCACAGGCGGCUCGGCAUUGGGCAGGGGGAGAGACGAAGGAGGGGCUGCGUGGCCUCCCCAGGCAGAGUGGGGGCACUGGGCCCUGAGAUGCCACGCGCUGCGGCAUCACCCCGCCCCCCCCCUGUCAUCCGGGUGACGGGUGCCAGAUGGGAAAGCAAAGCAACAAAAGGAAGUACACUGUACACCUAACGGGUUGAUGAAUUUCGAUGAAGGUGAUGACGUUACUCUACGUUUGCGUUUUUCCUCGUUUCCGGGCUCAAGGCCGCAAUGGUCGCUCCGUUUUUCGUUUCUGCCUUUCUCUCUCUGUUCGUCCCUCCCAUGACACCCGGCCCCCUCCCCCCUCCCGCCUCGCUGUGGAGGCGGGCCUCCAAACCGCCGAUUCCCGAGUUCGCUUCCUCAGCGAAAAAAAGCAAAACUCUCUCUCCAUAAAUACAGUACCCCAAAUGUCUGUGGGAUCUCCGCGGGCACCCGCGUGAAACGAGAUCCCCAAAUUCCGGUAUGAGCGGUGGACGCCCCUCCCCCCUCCCCUCACUGGCUCCAGAUUCACGUUUCUCUCGUCCGCCGUGUGCCCUUUUCCACCCCUCAUUUCGGCUGCGGCCUCUCCGAACAAAAAAAUAUUCUCUCCUUUUGGUCGCCUGAGUCAUGGGCUCUCCUCUAUCUCGCCUCUCUUCCCGUGGCCCUCAUACUCAUCCCUGAUGCCCGCUGCUCCACUGUUUUCCGCGUGUCUGUUUUUUCCCCUCCAUAUCUGCACCCUUUCGCCGCCCUAG